rnacentral:rRNA from 1 species
UACGUAGGUGGCAAGCGUUGUUCGGAAUUAUUGGGCGUAAAGGGCGCGUAGGCGGUCGAUCAAGUCGAGUGUGAAAGCCCCCGGCUCAACUGGGGAGGGUCAUUCGAUACUGAUCGACUCGAAGGCAGGAGAGGGUAGUGGAAUUCCCGGUGUAGUGGUGAAAUGCGUAGAUAUCGGGAGGAACACCAAUGGCGAAGGCAGCUCGCUGGGACGGUACUGACGCUGAGACGCGAAAGCGUGGGGAGCAAACAGG